UGUCUGAAGAGGCCCUUUGAGCUUUGGAGCCUCCUCACCACCAUCCCCAGCUUCUCGAUCCCAUCUCCUGAUUCUUUUUUUUUUUUUUUUUAAACAUUUUAUUUAUUUAUUCCUGAAAGACACACACAGAGAGAGAGAGAGAGAGAGAGAGAGGGAGAGAGAGAGGCAGAGACACAGGCAGAGGGAGGAGCAGGCCCCAUGCAGGGAGCCCGACAUGGGACUCCAUCCCGGGUCUCCAGGAUCACGCCCUGGGCCGAAGGCAGGCGCUAAACCACUUAGCGACCCGGGCGUCCCCUAUCUCCUGAUUCUACACCCCCUGCCCCAUCUGCAUCUGGUCCCCUCACUGUUCAGCAAACAGGCAGCUACGCUGCUGCCUCAGGCUUUUGCACUUGUAGCUCCUCAAGCUACUCAAAUAUCCAGCUGACUCACUUGCCUAUCACCUUCUCAGGGAGGCCUUCCUGUCUACCCUAUUUAAAAUUGCUUCCUUCCUCCCUGGGGCCUCCAAUGGGCCUUUCCUCUCCCCUUUUCCAGCGUUGGUUUUUUUCCCAGAGCACUUUACCACCAUUUAAUGAGUUAUAUUAUUUACUUGGUUAUCUUGUUUGUUUGUUUUUUAAGUUAUCUUGUUAACAGCCUAGCUUCCUCACCAAAUAAGGUUCUUGAGGACAAGGAUUUUUUUUUUUACAUUGCUGUACCACUGGCUCAUACCUGGUGCAUGUCAGGUCUUCAGAAAACAUUGUUGAAUGGAUGAGUGCACAUUUCAGCUGAGGGGCUUCUCGGAAAGAGGUGGGGCUCCUGUGCCUGAGGAUGAUAGCAUGCGUAAGGCCCAGUGAGGGGCGUUGUCGCCAGCUGCAGCCGGGCUGGCCAUCCUGCUUGGCCCCAGAUGAGGAAAGCAUCUUGAGUUACACACCGGGGAGUCAUCACCAGGCCCUGAAUGCUGUCAAAUACAUAAGAACUACUUUUGUAGAAAGGGGAAAAUCCACGAAGAAUGAAGGAGGGAGAAGAGAGUUUUCUGGAAGUGCUGAAGCCCUUGGGUAA
rnacentral:lncRNA from 12 species